CCAGACUCCUACGGGAGGCAGCAGUGGGGAAUAUUGGGCAAUGGGCGCAAGCCUGACCCAGCAACGCCGCGUGAAGGAAGAAGGCUUUCGGGUUGUAAACUUCUUUUGACAGGGAAGAGUAGAAGACGGUACCUGUCGAAUAAGCCACGGCUAAAUACGUGCCAGCAGCCGCGGUAAUACGUAUGGGGCAAGCGUUAUCCGGAUUUACUGGGUGUAAAGGGAGUGCAGGCGGCUUGGCAAGUCUGAUGUGAAAGGCUGGGGCUCAACCCCAGGACUGCAUUGGAAACUGUUAGGCUGGAGUGUCGGAGAGGUAAGCGGAAUUCCUAGUGUAGCGGUGAAAUGCGUAGAUAUUAGGAGGAACACCAGUGGCGAAGGCGGCUUACUGGACGACAACUGACGCUGAGGCUCGAAAGCGUGGGGAGCAAACAGGAUUAGAUACCCCAGUAGG
rnacentral:rRNA from 1 species